UACGUAGGGUCCGAGCGUUGUUCGGAAUUAUUGGGCGUAAAGCGCACGUAGGCGGCCUCUUAAGUCGGUGGUGAAAUCCUGGAGCUCAACUCCAGAACUGCCUUCGAUACUGAGAGUCUCGAGUCCGGGAGAGGUGAGUGGAACUGCGAGUGUAGAGGUGAAAUUCGUAGAUAUUCGCAAGAACACCGGUGGCGAAGGCGGCGAGCUGGUCCAUUACUAACGCUGAGGCGCGACAGCGUGGGGAGCAAACAGG
rnacentral:rRNA from 1 species